UUGUUAAAGAUCAGCAACGGCAGAUAAACAAUGCAUGAUGCAAUCUGCUCACUAAAAAGAUUACACCAAUACAUCCCAUGCAUGUAUUUCUACCUAUCACCUAUGUAACCUUUGUCAUGCUCUUCAGAGAGUCAUUGACAGGAAAAGGAAUUACCGGUAAGUUGACAGGACUUUACACACUGUUUCUGGUAGCAGCUUAUGAUUGAAUUGAUGGUAGAAGACAUGGCCCACUUAAUCAAAGAUAAUCUGUAUAGAGUGGCACCUUAACCACCACUGGUGAAAUAGAAGAUGACUAGUGGAUGGUCAUCACUUUGCAGCUCACUUUCACUUUCUGCAGCCCAUCUCUUCUCAUCCACAAUCAUUGUCUUUGGAGGAAUGGUGACAGUGCAGUCCUCAUGGCUGGGCAGGUCUACUGCAUGUUGACAGCUGAUACUUGUUCUCUAUUUACUCCGAGAGGCCUACUACACAUUGUACCUCAGUUAUGACUGUACUCGUGCAGGCUUCUAUGAUGUUAAUUUCCUUUACCUGCACUGCGUUAAACUUGGUCAAUUCUGUUACUGUCAAACACCAACAGAUGAAAAUAAGAUUUAGCUGAUCCUGCCAACAUUGUGACAUAAGAGGUCCAAUAUCUCACUCUGCAGUCAAACAUCAUUUUUUUUUAUGAACGCUCAGUAAAACAUUGGAAAUGUUAGACUUUUUUAGUAUUGAUUUAUAUAGUUACAUAUUUUUAAAGUAAUAACAAUUCUUUUUAUUGAUGUAUGUUUAAGUAUGCAAAAAUGAACAUUGAUGAUAUUAAAGGUGAGGUAUUUAUUUGUGAUUUCUCUUCUGAAUAAAAUUUUAUAUCAAUAA